UACGUAGGUCCCGAGCGUUGUCCGGAUUUAUUGGGCGUAAAGCGAGCGCAGGUGGUUUAUUAAGUCUGGUGUAAAAGGCAGUGGCUCAACCCUGAGCCUGCAUUUGAAACUGUGUUUCUUGAGUGCUGGAGAGGCAAUCGGAAUUCCGUGUGUAGCGGUGAAAUGCGUAGAUAUACGGAGGAACACCAGUGGCGAAGGCGGAUUGCUGGACAGUAACUGACGCUGAGGCGCGAAAGCGUGGGGAGCAAACAGG
rnacentral:rRNA from 1 species